rnacentral:rRNA from 1 species
UUGACCUCAAUCAGUAGA